rnacentral:miRNA from 1 species
GAACUCGAUUCUCCUCUGUCAUA